rnacentral:rRNA from 1 species
GACGAACGCUGGCGGCGUGCUUAACACAUGCAAGUCGAACGGAAAGGCCCUGCUCGCAGGGUACUCGAGUGGCGAACGGGUGAGUAACACGUGGGUGAUCUGCCCUGCAAUUCGGGAUAAGCCUGGGCAACUGGGUCUAAUAACGGCCAGGAGACAUAUUUAGUGUGAUGGUUCGAAAGUUUUUUAGGUGUAGGAUGAGAUCGCAGCGUAUCAGCUUGUUGGAGGGGUAAUGGCCUACCAAGGCGGCGUCGUGUAGCCGGCCUGAGAGGGUGGACGGCCAUAUUGACACUGAGGGGCGGCCCAGGCAGGGACGGGAGGGAGCAGUGGGGAAGAUUGCACAAGGGGCGCAGGCCUGAUGAAGCGAGUCCGCGUGGGGUAUAACUGUCUUAGGGGUGAAAAAUCCAUUCGCUAGGGACGAAGCUUUUUGUGACGGUACCUAGUUAAGAAGCACCGGCUAACUACGUG